rnacentral:lncRNA from 1 species
UUUAGGAACCUUUUUAUUUAUUAUUUUUUUCUUUUUCCGCUGAAUUUACACACUUUGUACAUUUAUUGGUCCAAUUUGGGACGACAUUUGGGGUUCAAGCACCGUUAGGCUAAAUAACUAGGUGAGGGUUACCAACCAACUUAGAAGGUGUAGUUCCCUUUUACCGUCUUUUCAUUAAUUUGGUACCCAAAAUUAUUCAUUUCCCAACCAAUCAUACAUGUAAGCGAGUCUAAA